GCUUAACACAUGCAAGUCGAGGGGUAUAGUUCUUCGGAGCUAGAGACCGGCGCACGGGUGCGUAACGCGUAUGCAAUCUACCUUAUACAGGGGAAUAGCCCAGAGAAAUUUGGAUUAAUGCCCCAUAGUGUUAUAGAAUCGCAUGGUUUUAUAACUAAAGUUCCAACGGUAUAAGAUGAGCAUGCAUCCCAUUAGUUAGUUGGUAAGGUAACGGCUUACCAAGGCGAUGAUGGGUAGGGGUCCUGAGAGGGAGAUCCCCCACACUGGUACUGAGACACGGACCAGACUCCUACGGGAGGCAGCAGUGAGGAAUAUUGGUCAAUGGGCGCAAGCCUGAACCAGCCAUGCCGCGUGCAGGAAGAAUCAUCUAUGGUGUGUAAACUGCUUUUAUACAGGAAGAAACCUCCCUACGAGUAGGGACUUGACGGUACUGCAGGAAUAAGGAUCGGCUAACUCCGUGCCAGCAGCCGCGGUAAUAC
rnacentral:rRNA from 1 species